CCGCUAUUCGGUUCGAUUAAUCCAUGCGAGUCGAGAGUCUUAGGGACUCGGCGUACCGCUCAGUAACACGUGGGUAACCUGCCCUAUGCUGGGGAAUAACCUCGGGAAACUGAGAAUAAUGCCCCAUAGUCCACCAUGCCUGGAACGGUUGGUGGAUGAAAGCUCCGGCGGCAUAGGAUGGGCCUGCGGCGUAUCAGGUCGUAGGGGGUGUAACAGUACCCUCUAGCCAUCGACGCGUACGGGUGUUGGGAGACAUAGCCCGGAGAUGGAUUCUGAGACACGAAUCCAGACCCUACGGGGUGCAGCAGGCACGGAAAACUUGGCAAUGCGAGAAAUCGUGACCAGGGAACUCCAAGUGCAUCGGGUAAGACCGGUGCUUUUCUUGACUCUAAAUAAGGUCUUGGAAUAAGGGG
rnacentral:rRNA from 1 species